rnacentral:tRNA from 1 species
GCCGUUAUAGCCUAGUGGUAUCUUGGAGGUGGGAUAAAGCUUAUGACCAUUAGGUCAUGGGUUCGAUUCCCACAAAGGGGG